GAUGAACGCUGGCGGCGUGCCUAAUACAUGCAAGUCGAACGAAACUUCUUUAUCACCGAGUGCUUGCACUCACCGAUAAAGAGUUGAGUGGCGAACGGGUGAGUAACACGUGGGCAACCUGCCCAAAAGAGGGGGAUAACACUUGGAAACAGGUGCUAAUACCGCAUAACCAUAGUUACCGCAUGGUAACUAUGCAAAAGGUGGCUAUACUACCGCUUUUGGAUGGGCCCGCGGCGCAUUAGCUAGUUGGUAGGGUAAAGGCUUACCAAGGCAAUGAUGCGUAGCCGAAUUGAGAGGUUGAUCGGCCACAUUGGGACUGAGACACGGCCCAAACUCCUACGGGAGGCAGCAGUAGGGAAUCUUCCACAAUGGGCGAAAGCCUGAUGGAGCAACGCCGCGUGGGUGAAGAAGGUCUUCGGAUCGUAAAACCCUGUUGUUAGAGAAGAAAGUGCGUGAGAGUAACUGUUCACGUUUCGACGGUAUCUAACCGGAAAGCCACGGCUAACUACGUG
rnacentral:rRNA from 1 species